CACACACACGCACACACACGCACACACACGCACACACACACACACACACACACACACACACACACACACACACACACACACACACACACACACACACACACACACACACACACAUAUUUGGUACACACAUGUGAUAUAAUUUUGUGUUGCUACACAUGUCCUGUACUGUGUGCUAAAAGUUUUAUUUUUUAAUCCAGUCUUCUGAGAUUAAGAGUACAGUGCAAGGUACAUUGAUCCAGUUUUAAUAUGAUGAUAGGGUUUCCGUGUUAGUUUGAAAAUGUGUAAAGGACAAGCAGAAACUUCCCUUCAGUUCUAUGUUAUAAUCUUCUUACAGAAAUUAGAUAUGACUUGCCUUGCAUAGAAUUUGAGAAUUAAUGCUGUAGCAAACCAUCCUGUGUUAUAUCUUAUUCUUUAAAAGCUCAUUUUUGAAUUAAUACCCAAGAAUCUCUUGCCUGUAUUAGGCUGCAGUUCUCAUUAUAAGAAUUAGUUCACAGGACAGGGGAUGAUUACAAUUGUAAUAAUUUCUCUCUGUAACUGGCAGGCUAUUGGGCUGUUUAGACCCCCAGAUAUAUAUAUAUAUAUAUAUAUAUAUAUAUAUAUAUAUAUAUAUAUAUAUAUAUAUAUAUAUAUAUAUAUAUUUUAGCUACUUCUUUGUUUGUGUUCAGUAGAUAUGAUAUUCAUGUAUUGGUAGGACAUGCUUUUGAUGGGUUAUGAGUUCAUAUAUUAAGUAUACUAUGUAUAUUGUUAAUGAGAUACAGUAUACAUGAAUUUAGUGUGUAUCUGAUAACAAGGAUUCACUUAUUCUUCACUGAUAGUACAUGAGUUUUAAUAUUCAUGAUAUCAUGGAAUAUAUUUUGACAGAUGAUGAGUAUAUAUAUCAAGCGUAAUAUUAUCAGUGAGACACAGUGUUUAAGUGAAUUCAGUGAUUCAGAUGACAUAUAAAUUCAAUUGCUCUUCAUUGAUCAGUUCACCCAGUCAUACACAUCCACUGUCCAUCCAGAUAGAUAUAUAACUGCAAUCUGUGAUUCUACAUAUUCAGUCCCUCUCAUGUUCAAAUCUUCUACUGAGUGUAUUUAGUUAUUUUUUUUAUGCACUCCUGUAUACAUCUUUCUGUCCAUCCAUUCAUCCAUAAGUAUUCAGCUACAUACACAUGCACUUGUCUAUUCAAGCCAUCCAGACACACAAAGUGGUAAUUACAAUACACGUCGUGCCUUUCCUCUCCAGUGUUUGUGUGUAAUGAAACAUACUCAUUUCUGAAGGUUGUGAUGUUUAGCAGGAAAGAACAAAAAAAGAAACCAACAGGUAAAAUUGAUGAAAAUGCAUGUUGGUUAAUGGACAUGCGGUAAUUGCACUUUUGUACUCAAGGUGAAAAAAAAUGAAUUAUGAAUUUAGCUUAUACUUGCUUCCGAUUUUAUCUUACAAGUAUUUCUCUUUCUCUCUCUCUCACUCUCUCUCUAUAGCAGUUAGAGUAGUGGGCUUUGGAUAGCUUUCCGUUGCUCUAAUCUAAUUUCAUGCUAAUUUUAGAGAUGUAGCCAGAUAAGAGACUGGGUCACGUAUGUGGCCUUGGCACAAAGAAAUCCCUGUUAUUUAGUUAGUGUUUAGUAACUGUUAAAAAAGGAAAACCAUGCAGUAUUGGAAAUUUAGCAAUUACUUGUAGCUUUCUUGCAAUGUAUUGUGAAUGAGUAUCACUCUAAGAGGUCUAAACUUGGUUGUUACGUCAUUGCAGUUGGAUUGUAGUUGUCUUUUUGUCUUUUUUAUGCCUUUAUUUCUUAGGAGAUAAUAUGCAGAUACUAAUUUCAAAACAUUCUAGAAUACUAGGAUAAGAAGAGAUAGGAAGGUAAAGGAAACUAAUCAUGGAAAUUACAUACCAGCUGGACGGGUUAUCCUCUACAAGUGAACCCCAUUUGUGAACGCUAGAUUUUCGAGACAAAGUUGGUUUGUAAUAUGGACUGCUCAACAUUCCAAUCAAAUAGAGAAUGGAUCUGAUGCUUGUAAUAUUCAUGCUUUAAAAUAUAAUAGCAUAAAAGGAAUUCCUGUUCCCCAUAAAAUUUAUGCAGUGAAAUUAGUGAAUUCUUACCUUUUUUUUUAUAUUUAUAGUUCUUAUAUUACAAAAUAGGAACAUUUUUACUAAAGUACUUGUAUCAUUUGAUUGGUAUUGUUAGAUGGAAAGGUUCUCCUAUAGUCUAAAAAAUAAGAAAUUAUUGUGUGAAAUCUAUUUACUUAUUGAAUGGUUUAUAUCUCAAAAAGAAGGUCUCUCAGCACUCUGUCCUUUUAAGACUAACAUCAUUGAGCAAACUGUUGUCAGCCAUUAGCCAUAUUUAGCAUGAGAAGUAGCUUAUGGAGAUAUUAGACAUGCAUGCUCUGCAGCAGUUGAGGCUUUAUUAGAAGGCUGGGAAAUCCUGAAAUAGUUCACAGGCUUUUAGUAUAAUAUAUUACUAGUAGUAUUAAUGUUUUUGAUAUUCUUCUUAGCACUAUUUUUUCUUCAUUAUUAUUAGUAGUAGCAUUAAUAAUAAUGAUAAUUAUCAUUAUUAUUAUUAUUAUUAUUAUUAUUAUUAUUAUUGUCAUUAUUUCUUGUUUCCUAUUAUUUAUGGUCUUAAAAUUCAUAUAGUGUGUGUAUUAUUUAUGUGUCAUUCUCCCUUUUUCCUUUUCAGCCUUUCUGGUUUCACAUUCACUAAAAUUUCAGCCUACUUAAGUUAUUGCUGUGUAAUGGAACCACUUAUACAAGUUAUUCUGUACAUUAGAAAUAGGCUUGUUCUAAAACAGCUGUCGUAAAGUGCAGGUCAAGGAGGUUUGAUAUAGAUCGAGUCAACAUUCAACACCAAAGUGAAGGUUGCACUUUCUUGAGGUAAUGAAACAAAUGUUAAUUAAUUCUUGAGGUAAUGAAACCAAUGUUAAUUAAUUCUUGAGGUAAUGAAACCAAUGUUAAUUAAUUCUUGAGGCAAUGAAACCAAUGUUAAUUAAUUCUUGAGGUAAUGAAACAAAUGUUAAUUAAUUCUUGAGGUAAUGAAACAAAUGUUAAUUAAUUCUUGAGGUAAUGAAACCAAUGUUAAUUAAUUCUUGAGGCAAUGAAACCAAUGUUAAUUAAUUCUUGAGGUAAUGAAACAAAUGUUAAUUAAUUCUUGAGGUAAUGAAACCAAUGUUAAUUAAUUCUUGAGGCAAUGAAACCAAUGUUAAUUAAUUCUUGAGGCAAUGAAACCAAUGUUAAUUAAUUCUUGAGGUAAUGAAACAAAUGUUAAUUAAUUCUUGAGGUAAUGAAACAAAUGUUAAUUAAUUCUUGAGGUAAUGAAACAAAUGUUAAUUAAUUCUUGAGGUAAUGAAACCAAUGUUAAUUAAUUCUUGAGGUAAUGAAACCAAUGUUAAUUAAUUCUUGAGGCAAUGAAACCAAUGUUAAUUAAUUCUUGAGGUAAUGAAACAAAUGUUAAUUAAUUCUUGAGGUAAUGAAACAAAUGUUAAUUAAUUCUUGAGGUAAUGAAACAAAUGUUAAUUAAUUCUUGAGGUAAUGAAACAAAUGUUAAUUAAUUUUUGAGGUAAUG